rnacentral:rRNA from 1 species
UACGUAGGGUGCAAGCGUUGUCCGGAAUUAUUGGGCGUAAAGAGCACGUAGGCGGUCUGUCGCGUCGGACGUGAAAAUCCAGGGCUCAACCCUGGACCUGCGUUCGAUACGGGCAGACUAGAGUUCGGUAGGGGAGACUGGAAUUCCUGGUGUAGCGGUGAAAUGCGCAGAUAUCAGGAGGAACACCGGUGGCGAAGGCGGGUCUCUGGGCCGAAACUGACGCUGAGGAGCGAAAGCGUGGGGAGCAAACAGG